rnacentral:rRNA from 1 species
CAGUAGCCGCGGUAAAACGUAGGGUGCAAGCGUUAAUCGGAAUUACUGGGCGUAAAGCGUGCGCAGGCGGUUAUAUAAGACAGAUGUGAAAUCCCCGGGUUCAACCUGGGAACUGCAUUUGUGACUGUAUAGCUAGAGUACGGCAGAGGGGGAUGGAAUUCCGCGUGUAGCAGUGAAAUGCGUAGAUAUGCGGAGGAACACCGAUGGCGAAGGCAAUCCCCUGGGCCUGUACUGACGCUCAUGCACGAAAGCGUGGGGAGCAAACAGGAUUAGAUACCCCUGUAGUCCCUGUCUCUUAUAC